rnacentral:lncRNA from 1 species
AAAGAACUGCCAUGUUGGAAGAGACAACCAUGAAAAAAUAACAAAGUAAAAUAUCUAAUGGUAAAAACAAAAAUUAAAACCCAAACAAUGCAAACCAAACAUGAUAUAAAAAAUGAAUUAAAAUAAUUAGGGGCUAAAUUAGAAAGAAAAAAAAACUAAGAAAGGAUAAAUGAAAAACUUAUUGAAAGAAUGAGAACCAAAACUAAAGAAAAAAUUAAAUGAAAUUAAAUAUUGAGGGACAAAAUAAAAAAAAAUAAUCAAGAAAAGGAUAAGAAUAUAACUGUUAAAAGAAUAAGG